rnacentral:rRNA from 1 species
CCUACGGGAGGCUGCAGUGAGGAAUAUUGGUCAAUGGCCGAGAGGCUGAACCAGCCAAGUCGCGUGAGGGAAGACGGCCCUACGGGUUGUAAACCUCUUUUGUCGGGGAGCAAAGCGAGUCACGUGUGACCCUUUCAGAGUUCCCGAAGAAAAAGCAUCGGCCAAACCCGUGCCAGCAGCCGCGGUAAUACGGAGGAUGCGAGCGUUAUCCGGAUUUAUUGGGUUUAAAGGGUGCGCAGGCGGAGGUGUAAGUCAGCGGUAAAAAUGCGGGGCUCAACCCCGUACUGCCGUUGAAACUGCAGCCCUUGAGUGCGCGAGAAGUAUGCGGAAUGCGUGGUGUAGCGGUGAAAUGCAUAGAUAUCACGCAGAACUCCGAUUGCGAAGGCAGCAUACCGGCGCGCAACUGACGCUCAUGCACGAAAGCGUGGGUAUCGAACAGGAUUAGAUACCCGUGUAGUC